rnacentral:rRNA from 1 species
UACGAAGGGGGCUAGCGUUGUUCGGAAUCACUGGGCGUAAAGCGCACGUAGGCGGAUGUGCCAGUCAGGGGUGAAAUCCCGGAGCUCGACUUCGGAACUGCCUCUGAUACAGCACGUCUUGAGUCCGGAAGAGGUGGGUGGAAUUCCUAGUGUAGAGGUGAAAUUCGUAGAUAUUAGGAAGAACACCGGUGGCGAAGGCGGCCCACUGGUCCGGUACUGACGCUGAGGUGCGAAAGCGUGGGGAGCAAACAGG